rnacentral:rRNA from 1 species
AAGAGUAUUUUUAAGUUAGCAUAUAUGGAUAAAUAUUAAAAGUAUCCGCAGCGAUAUGCAAUUUUGAAGUUAAAAUGGAAGGAAGGAACUCGGCAAAUCUUAGCUUCGCCUGUUUAUCAAAAACAUGGCUCUCUGUUACUUUAAUAUAGGGAGUCGGACCUGCCCAGUGAAAUUUUUUAACGGCCGCGGUACCCUGACCGUGCAAAGGUAGCAUAAUCAUUUGCCUUAUAAUUGAAGGCUUGUAUGAAUGGUUUGACGGGAGCAUUGCUGUCUCCCUCCCAGUAGAUAGAACUUGACCUUUAGGUGAAGAGGCCUAAAUAUAAUUGAAAGACAAGAAGACCCUGUCGAGCUUUAAAAUUAGAUUAGAGGGAAAUAUAAAAUAGCCUAAAUUUAUAGCUAAUUGGUUUUUUGGUUGGGGCGACCGAGGAACAGCAAGAGCUUCCUUUAUCUAAGCUGACUUAUAGGUAUUGAUCCAGCCUAAAGCUGAUUAAAAAAAUUAGUUACCGCAGGGAUAACAGCAUAAUCUCUCUUAAGAGACCAAAUCGAAAGAGGGGGUUGUGACCUCGAUGUUGGACUAGAAUAUCCUGAAGAUGCAGAAUU